UAAAAGCCCCGUUUUGGAUUAGGUGUACGCGUAAUGGUUUACGCUUCUCGCGUCUCCAGAUCGAAAGGUGACACCCCUUGCGCAGCUGACGUUCCGUCUCCUUCGUUGCAAGCACUCAAAAACCGAUCAAUCAAUCAUCUUUAAUCCCCCCCCCCAUUAAUCUAACACCCACAAUCUGGAUUCAAUGCGAUAUUGUUGAUGUGCAAGGCGUUCGAGUCGACUAUAAAAAAGCCGGUGGCUCCUCUUCCACCGUCGAAGUGUGCUUGCUCCGCUUCUGGGAGGCCAGAAACGUCCGCCGUGGUGGAGAAUUCAUGGGCGUCGACAUGCUCUUGCUUCACUCUCAGGCUGGAGGUGUUGGCAAGACAUACAUAUUCCAGCUCAGCGUGACCAGUUUCAUUACACUGCAGAGCGUCAGACCUUCACAGUCUUACGCAUCUUCAACGAGUCCCUGAUAUGUUAGUUUGUAACUCACUUGAUAUUCUGUCAAAAUAACAAUGUGUGUCUUGGUGUUAUCAGGGAGACAACGGUGGUCUUGGAGAUGAUAUAAACACUGGAAGCUCAACUUAAGUUGAAUCUAAAACUCUUCCGAGGCUGCUGCAACGGAUCUAGAUCAGCUGCAGUCAACGUGUUCAUCCUACGUUAUCAUAUCGUCUGGGUUCUUGAGCAUUCCUUACUGCAGAUUCAUCACCGUCAAAGCCGUUUUUACCAAUUUCGCAGCGAGGCGACUUUACCAGAAUGGAUUUGGCUUGGCGGAAGUUGUGUGUAUGAUGAGCAGUGCUGCAUAUCAAGCUAAGAAGAGAUGCAACAAUGUACAAUUAGCGGAAGAGACUGUAGCUCACCGCCAAGCCCAUGCUUUGGAGCGUGUAUGAAUUGGCAAUCAGAAUACUGCUGGGAUCUCUACUGAUGAUGAAGACUUAUGAGAUUGAAGCUUUUAGUCAGGACAGAAAGAGAUGGAGGAUACUUUAAUGCUGAUGGGAACUUUGUAGAAUAUGUUAGAGACAAGGAAGUCAAGGUGCAGAUCAAACAUUGGUUUAAUGUUUGAGGAAAAUGAGCAAGGUCAAACGUUGGUUUAACGUUCUAGGAACGUGAGCAAGAUCAAAUGCAAAAUUUGAAAAAGAGUCAGCAAUUGCAAGUAUGGUAAAGGGCACACAGCUUCAAGACGUCAUCAGUUAAUGUAUAUACAAAUAUACAAUAGUUAGAAGGUCAUUUGUAUUGUUAUCCAUUGGUCGCUUACAAUGACGUUGUGAGUCAAAAAUGCAUAGGACAUGCCAACAUUUGAAUAAAAAGGGACAUGCUGAGAGUAUUAGAAAGUUGAGUGCUUUAUAAAUAUGAUAUCUUUUAUCUCUUAGUUGAUUAUUUAUUGAUGUGAGUUAUAAAUUCAUGGUUGUCCUCGAUUGUUUAAUGUUACUCUAUAAGAUUUUUACUUAA